rnacentral:lncRNA from 1 species
GGCCUACUACUACUACUAAGAAUUUUCAUCUCAUGUGUCAAAUCUGGCACUAUUCACUGGUAAUUAACAGCUGGUUUAUAAACAAGUAUUUUGUAAAUGGUACCGUAGAAUUACCAGGGGUAUUAAUAAAAAAAAUCCCUAAAACGUAUUGUUUUCGAUCCCUAAAACGUAUUGUUUUCGCUUCUCAUCAUCAACGCUGGCUGCAGAGAGUUUAGUUUAUCCAUGACCAACCUAACUACAGUGUACUAUCCAACAGCAUUUUUUGUUUUUUUGGAUUGAAGCUUUGUGAACUUACAAACAAGAAGUUACGGAAACACUACAACCCAUCCAUCCACCACAUGGUGAAAACAACAACAGGGAUUUCUUUUGACUGCUUUCCUUUUGCUUCUGAUCGGAGAUCCAGAGUGGUGACAAGCUGUAAACUGGGUGCUUCUGCGCUAACCAGGUACACAUUUUACUUCUGGCUAGCUUUUUUACUUUAACUUCAUUCAUGAUUGCUAAUAACUUGACAAAUCAAUAAAAUGUGCCUUGAUCAGUAUGUCAUGCACACCACACAGUAGGCCUAUACGUUUUAUCGGUUUUAACUAGCCUCCUCAAAAAAAAAAUUUUAAUACAAAAUUUCUGAAGAAUUAGAGCAGUAACUAGUUUCUUGAUGAAACUAAAGCAAAUUGACUGCGGCCACUUGCAAUUUUAUUGUAAUGGAAUAUUCUUUGAUGCUGCAGACUUGGCUUCCGUAGAAGAAUGACAUGUAAUGAAUAUGAUCCAUAGAAGGGGACAUCACUCACAAUAUUUUCCCAAUAUAUGGAUACAAAAUGUACAAGCAUAAAAUUAACUUUGGGCCUUCACAGCCAACUCAAAACAUCUUUCAACAGUCUAGCACAUGCAGAGUGAACGGAUUUUUUUAGUCCUGAAUUUUAUGACGAGUAAUGCUCAUAAAAAUUCUUAAUAUAAUUAUAAUAAACAGAAAGAUUUCUACGUUUGCCUAUUUUGCGCUAUGCAUGCUACUAUGCUAGACUGUUACUAGAUCUAUUACUAAUAUUACUUUACAAUUACUGUAUUUUUGUAACUUUGGUUAGGGUUACACACCAAAAGGAGCUUUACCACCAGAAGGUAAGCGUGGUCUGAUAGGUCUGGGGUAAUGUGGGGACAGAAAACGCUUUUUUGUCUUGGAGAAGCGAAAGUUGAAAGUCAUCAUUUGAGAUGGAGGGGACAAACAGGAUAGCUGGUAAACAUUGGACUAACCCUUUUGCUGUUUGCUGCAAAUUGUCUCCACUGAGAUGAGAGAACAACACACUACUGGAUCGUGUCGCGCCAUCAAGGGCAUCAAGGAGACUUCAUGGCGUGCUUUCCACAUGUGGUUGAUUUUCAACUUCAUGCUCAAGACAAGACGUUUUUUAAAAUAUAUUUAGGGUUAAAGUUUUCUCUGAUUCUGAUGAUGAUUAUGGUGGUACGAUUCUUAAAAAAAAAAAAAGAAGAAAACACAUGGAGCAUUAAAAAAGAUCACGCAGGAAGAGAAAGAAAAAAAAAAAAAAAACAGGGAAAAAAGAAGGCCCUGGCCACCAAAAAAAAAGGUUAUAAUUCCUGUGGACCUCCAAAAGAAAAAAGUCAGGGGAAAAAAGAUUUGCCCCAAAUUACCCCAAAAGUCAAAAGAACUGAGCCACAUUGUUGUUAGAGCUAUCCCCCCGCAAAAAAAAAAAGAAUUAAAAUAAAAAAAACGUAAUGGCGAAAAAAAGAAAAAAAGGGGGUAACAAUACCAAAUUCUCUUCAUUGUAUGAUUUUAUUUUGUUUUUAUUGCACUUUGAAGAUAUAAUUUCGAGGUUUCAGGAGCAAUUUAAAGUAUUGCCAUACAGUAGGCCCCUACUUCAACUUCAAGUCAAGUAGUGGAACAUCAAAUCAAACUUGGAACAGGCGGCCUUCAUUUCUCUCACACACUGCAGUGAUGGACCAACAGUACAGCUACCAUACUGAUAAAUUUGAUUCCUGUGGUAGCACAUGGCAUCUGUUGUUAAUGGAUGUGUUGCAAGUUUUGACUGCAGAAAAGUUUGAAAAAUGCAGUGUUUUGGUGGGUAAAAAUUUAAAAUUUUGUAAAUUAGCAGAGAAAAAUUUGUUCGUUAUUGUUACCGUACUUAUUUGAGUCCAUGCGUUUUUUAAACAGUCUCCAAGCCUUGCCUGAAUCUUAUUUUGUGAAAAUGAUUUCCAAUCCCUUCAGAAAAAAUAUAAUUUAUGUUCUUUUACAUCAUGGGUAAAGUACAAAGUCAGGAAAAAUACUAUCCAUGCAUAGCAGAUGUAUUCUUUUUGAAGCAGUUCGUCGUAUGGUAUUUGAUGAAAGAUGGCCUACCCUGGAGUUGUGGCGUAAAAAAUCGGAGAGGACAAAGUCCGUUUUUUUGUAACCUGCAGUUGACUGAAGUCACUAAAGUGUACAGCAAAAUACUGCUCUAAUUCAAAGGGAGAGUAAUGGACCCAGCCAAAUGCCCCUGGUGCAUCUUUGGAGUGUAAGUAUAAGUGAAGGGAUGGAUAGGUGCUCAGUGGCAAAGAGAGACAAGCUGCAACCUUUGGAGUGUGGAACAUUGGACAGAGGCACAUAAAAAAUGCAAGCCGCAUCAGUGACCUGACUUAGGACUCUUGAUGACAUGUUACAGAUAGACUACAGAAACUGCUGCGACGGGAAUCUGAAAUUUUGUAGUGAGCAAAGAUUGUUUUUCUGUAUGAUCCAAUAAUAAACAUGCACGACCUGAACUGAUUUUCUAUUUCCCAAGAAUUAAUGUAAGCGUGCAUUUUUGUUUUCCAUCAUUUGUUAAGAUUACAGUAAAAAUUAAGAAUAAAUGGUGUGUGUGCAUUGUGGAUGUGUUUUUUGUAAAAGUUUCUUCCUAAGGUAUUCGAUGGGGGAAAACACGUACUUUAAAAAUGUGAAAGAUUGUGUGGCGAAGAAAGAUGGGCUUUUUGUAACUGCGUUUGACCAAAGUGGACCCUUGCCUAAGUGUCCGUGAUGCACCUCUGGAGUGUGGAACGUUGGAAAAAGGUGCCACAGAGAUGCAAGCCGCACCAGUGAUUGAGGCUUAGCACCCUUGAUGACAUGUAACAGAUAGACUACAGACACUGCUUGAAAAGGGAUUCCCGAUUUUCGCAGUAAGUUGAGAUUGUUAGUGCCUAUGAUGCAAUAAUCAUAGACAGGCACGACCUGAACUGAUUUUCUAUUCCCCAAGAAGUAAAGUAACCGUGCAUUUUUCUUUUCCAUCAUUUGUUUUGAUGAAAGUAAAAAUAAGUAUAAAUGGUGUGUAUGCAUUGUGGAUGUGUUUUUUGUAAAAGUUUCAUCCUAAGGUAUUUGAUGAAUGAAGACACGUUCACUAGAGAGUGUGGCGAAGAAAGAUGGGCCCUUUUGUCGACGUUUGACCAAAGUGGACACGUAUUGCUCAACUCAAAUGGAGUGUAGGGGAACUAGCCUAUUGUCGGUGGAGUAUGGAAUAUUGGAGAGAGGCAGAGCAGAAAUACAAGCCACAUAAGUGAUUGAGGCUUAGGACCCUUGAUGACAUGCUACAGAUAGACUACAGACACUGCUAAGACAAGGAUUCCCGAUUUUCGUAGUGAGUUGAGAUUGUUAUUGCCUAUGUUUUUCUUUUUCCCCA